rnacentral:rRNA from 1 species
GAGUUUGAUCAUGGCUCAGAUUGAACGCUGGCGGCAGGCUUAACACAUGCAAGUCGAACGAUGAUUACUAGCUUGCUAGUAUGAUUAGUGGCGAACGGGUGAGUAAUGCUUAGGAAUCUGCCUAUUAGUGGGGGACAACAUUCCGAAAGGAAUGCUAAUACCGCAUACGUCCUACGGGAGAAAGCAGGGGAUCGCAAGACCUUGCGCUAAUAGAUGAGCCUAAGUCGGAUUAGCUAGUUGGUGGGGUAAAGGCCUACCAAGGCGACGAUCUGUAGCUGGUCUGAGAGGAUGAUCAGCCACACUGGGACUGAGACACGGCCCAGACUCCUACGGGAGGCAGCAGUGGGGAAUAUUGGACAAUGGGCGAAAGCCUGAUCCAGCCAUGCCGCGUGUGUGAAGAAGGCCUUUUGGUUGUAAAGCACUUUAAGUGGGGAGGAAAAGCUAAUAAUUAAUACUUAUAGCCCUGAC